GAGUUCAUGCCCUUGCGGGUAGAUCUCCCACCCUUGAAUAUUAUACCUUAGUUGCUUUGGCAGGCCGUGGAAACACCAUGGGCUUCGGCUCGUGUGUGCCUGCCAGAGGAAACAAACUCUGUUUUUAGUGAUGUCUGAGUACUAUAUAAUAGUUAAAACUUUCAACAAUGGAUCUCUUGGUUCU
rnacentral:misc_RNA from 1 species